UAAUAUUUGCCACCGGGUAAAUAAGAUAGUGUUUAGGUAUAUUCCAGUAGGUCAUAGAAGGAAUAUGUUUAAGCACUUUUUUGAU
rnacentral:ncRNA from 1 species